GGAGGCCUCUCCUACUUCCUAUUUAGAUCUUCACAGUAUCCUGUAAGAGGGCCUUCCCUAUCCUGUCAUCAGACUUCCCCUACUUCUGUCAAGAGUCUCCUCUAUUUCCUGGCAGCAGUCCUCUAGCUCAUCCCUGAAGACCUCCUCUUCAAGCAAUGACAAAGACAGACACAGGUGAAGUCUGACGGAGACAGUCAAUGCUCUUCACUCUGAACGGCUUCCUCCAGUACAGCAGCCAAGCAUCCUGUCCUACCUCUCAAUACUUUGGCUCAUCUAUCACCAUUAAACUGGUAAUAGAGGCCAAGGACUUGAAGGACCCUUGAGCUCCUGCCCUGUGCAUUCUCUCCGAUAUUUUAUUUUUAUUUUUAUUGUUGUUGUUAUUUUAUCACUACUUAUAUUAUUAAUAGUCUUAGGGUUUUAUUGCUGUGAAGAGGCACCAUGACCACGGCAAUUCUUAUAAAAUAAAACAUUUAAUUGAGGCUGGCUUAAGUGCAGAGGUUUAGUCCGUUAUUGUCAUGGACAGAAGCAUGGCAAUGUGCAGGCUGACAUGGCGCUAGAGAGGUAGCCGAGAGUUCUACAUCCAGAUCAGCAGACAGCAGGAAGAGAAUGAGACACUGGGCCUGGCUUGAGCAUCCGAGACCUCAAAGCUCACCCCUGGUGACACACUUCCUCCAAGAAAGCCAUACCUACUCCAGCAAGGCCAUACCUUCUAAUAAUGCUACUCCCUAUGGAUCUCUGGAGGCCAUUUUCAUUCAAACCAACACCACCGCCACAUUACCAUCACCAUCAUCAUCAUCAUUAUUGUGGGAAAACAUAUGGAGCUGGCCAGAACACCAGAAAACACAAACUGGAGAAAGUGAUCAUUAAAACUCACCCAGCAAGAAACAUGGCAGGCACAAUUCAACUCUGAAAGAGGAACAGCUUUGCCCCAUUGCUCAGAAACGAAGUGUUCAGACAAGAGAAGGAACAAGCUGUGGCCUCCAUCCAGGAGCCCUCUACAACAAAGAUGGCAAUGGUAACCCACUUCUUAGAAAAGCUAUGCAACAUUACUGAUUUCUGUUGUGUUUUGUCUUGAGCUUGUAUCAGCUUUUAAGAAGUUCAUUUUGAGCUGGGCAUUGGUGGCGCACACCUUUAAUCCCAGUACUUGGGAGGCAGAGGCAAGUGGAUCUCUGUGAGUUCGAGGUCAGCCUGGUCUCCAGAGCGAGUGCCAGGCUCCAAAUCUACACAGAGAAACCCUGUCUCGAAAAAAAAGUUCAUUUUGGACCAAAAUCCAACCUCUGGCUCCCUUUGAACAUUCCAAAUGUCUGUUUCCCAGGGCUACAGAGUGUAAUCAGUACUGGACAGUGGCCAACAUCCUCACGGUUUUGAUUACUUUGAUCCAGUGUCAUGGCCCCUGUGGCCUUGUUGGUUCUUCCCUUGGUCCAUCUUGGUGAACACCAGCCCCAUACCCACAGCAAUCCCACUGUCUCUGCUACCUGGAUCUGGCCCAAGACUCUCAAGACCUCACUGGAGAUCAUGCUACAGCAUGAACCAUCAAUGUCUCAAACCAUCUGGAAAUGCUGGCCAGCUACCUCAAACAGUCUGGUUGUGUUGCUUCCUGAUGACUACUACAAGGCCUUCCUCAAGGCCAUCACCCUGUCCAGCUUGGAAACCUGCAUGAAGAUAUAAGAUUAUGAUGGGACUGAGCCCUCUGGCCUCUAAAGAGGUCUAUGGACCUGAGAGGAGAGGUAGCUAGGAGACAAUCAUGGGUAUCGAGGGUUUAGGAGCUGUGGCCAGAAAACACAUCUGUUUCUUGCUGGCUGGUUUCCAGAGCAUCAGAACUGUCCAGAGCCUGGGGCUCCUGAGGCAGUUCCUCUCCCUGGACCUGUGGACAGCUUAAAGCACAUUUCUUAGCAUCAUUUACAAGGUAUGUGACUCAGUCCUUGCUAACAUGUGGUUAGCAUGUUAGCUAGCAUCCUUGCUAGCAUGGAUGUCUCAGUCACAGCUCCCUGGAAGCAGGUCCUGCCUCACUGCACACAGCACAUCCUGCCGCUCAUAUUCCCAGAAUCCCGACUCCCUUGUUAGUUCCUGCAAAUGGGAAAUCGGAGAUUCAGAAAGUUUAAGUUGACCCUAAGGCACUCCCAGACAUGCUGCCUUUCUUUGCUGACCCCUCUUGGGCCAGGAGACACUAAAUGCCCCCAAAACAGGCGACACCUCCUAUAUAAAGAGAAGAAUUGCCUUGCGUGAGGUGGGGAAAUGCUAAAUGUUCAUUCAAACAGAUUCUCCCAAGAGGGGAUAAUCCCUCUCCCCCAACCCCAAGGAACCUGUGCUGGCUAGUUUUAUGUCAACUUGACACAAACUAAAGUCAUCUGAGAGGAGGAACCUCAAUUGAGAAAAUGACUCCAUAAGAUCCAGCUGUAGUACAUUUUCUUGAUUAGUGAUUGAUGAGGAGGACCCAUCCCAGUGUGGGUGCUGCCAUCCCUGGGCUGGUGGUCCUGGUUCUAUAAGAAAGCAGACUAAGCAAGCCAUGAGGAACAAGCCAGUAAGCAACACCCCUCCAUGGCCUCUGCAUCAGCUCCUGCCUCCAGGUUCCUGCCCUGCCUUUCCUCCUCAACUUGCUUUUGGUCAUGCUGUUUCAUCCCAGCAAUAGUAACCCUAAGACAGAACCCAUGGAAAAGCUUCUCAUGGAAAAGAGUAAGUAAGUGAUGCUUUCCCAGCCUAGUCCAUCUCAAAGCCCAGUGAGUUCCUGGACCUCCUUGAACUCCUAGGAGAGGCUGAUGUGAGAUAUUAUUUUAAUUAGGCAAAGAUGUGUUACAUUUGUUUAUGCUGUGGAAUAUCACUUUAACUGUGUAAAGGUGUGUUACAUUUGUUUAUGCUGUGGAAUAUCACUUUAACUGUGUAAAGGUGUGUUACAUUUGUUUAUGCUGUGGAAUAUCACUUUAACUGUGUAAAGGUGUGUUAUAUUUGUUUAUGCUGCUUUUGUUUAAUGAUGUAAGGGAGUGUGUUUAAUUAUGUAAAAAAUGUUUGCAUUUGUUUCACCUUGCCUGCCUAAGUCACCUGAUUGGUCUCAUAAAGAGCUGAAUGACCAAUAUCUAGGUUGAGAGAGGGAUAGGUGGGGCUGGCAGGCAGAGAGAAUAAAUAAGAAGAGAAAUCUAGGUUCAAGAAGAAAAACAAAAAGAAUGAGUAGAAAGAGGGACACAUCCAGGGCCAGAAGCCAGGCAGCCAGACACAGAGACAGCAGGAAAGUAAGACAUAAAGAAAUAAAGGUAAAAAGCCCAGAGGCAAAAGGUAGAUAAAGAGAAACAGGUCAAUUUAAGUUAGAAGAGGUAGCCAGAAAUAAGCCUAAGCUAGGCUGAGCAUUCAAAACUAAUAAGUCUCCAUGUCAUGAUUUGGAAACUAGUUGGUGGCCCAAAAGAAAAAGCCUGGUACAGGCUGAGGUUAGGACCUGUGCUGAGAAAUAUUUCAAUGACUCAGUCCUCUACGAAUGAAGCACAGAAGGGUGUCUAUGCCUGGGACACACUGAGACAGGCAUCCAUCAUUAAUUAGUGCCUCAGCCAGGAUGAGAAGAGCUGAGAAGGCCAGUGACCUGCCUUAUCACUGUCACUCAGUCCUCAGUGCUUUCUCCAAUGUCCCAAGGGAAGCUGGCAGAGCUGUGUGUUGUCAGCUGCUCUCACUCUUAGCCUCAUCUCCCCUAUACAGGCCUCAGCCAGCUGGAUCAGGCAGCAUCUCCCAAGAUCCCCAGGCCACAGUCCCUAUCCUUCAGAGGAAAGCAAGUCCCAAAUCCGUGGAACUUGAGCUCUUUCUGCACCUCACCUCCACCCCUUGCCCUGCUAACUCCACCAGGGCCUAUCCAGGGCAUUGGCAAGAGGAACAGUGUAAGUCUUGGACCACAGAUUCCCCUUCCUGCCCAAAUAAAGGAUCCACAACCCUCCUGUCUGGCCCACAACAGACCACAGACACUUGCACAUUGCUGUAUUCACUCCACAGCAGUCUGUCAGCACCUACUGUUAUGUGCUCUCACCAGCCACCCAAGAAAGGCCCGAAGGUAAUGAGUGGGCAGAGCUGUGCACCUGAGAGGAGCAGAGCUGGCUUUGUCCCUGAGUCCUCCCUACCCUGACCCCCCAGGGAGGGAAAUGUAACCCUGCACACUCACGCCCAUUCAUGUGGGACAGCACUUGUCCAGGGUAAUGCACAGCAGCCCCAGCAUGGACAGAUUUUGGAAGUCUUGACAAUCGGUGACUAGUAAGACAAACGCCCUUCCCUCGCUUUACUUCUUCCCUGUCGCUACCCAAAGCAGAUGAAGUAAAAUGAUUUGGGCCUGAGAGAUUCUGUAAAACCCCAGGACAUAAAAAUUACUGUUGAUUUGUUUCAAGUUUCCUGUCAAUCAUUCUUUUCAUUAUUGGUAUUCUGUAAGCGUGGAUUUAACUGGGAAUAGAUGCUGGGACUACAUGCUACAUAAGAGCCGGUCAAGACAAACAGGAAAUAAGACACAGCCCUCCCAAGAGCCUGGAGUCUACUCUUUCAAAUGCAAGUGACUUGCUCCCACAUCAUGAUGGACCACUUGCCUGUGAGGCCCCAUGGAAAUUGAAAUAGAUUCAGAUGGACCAGUAGCCCUGGGUAGACCAGCAACACUGUUCUGGGCUUUUCAUCAAAACUGUUGGAAAAGAAUUCAGGCAUCCUGAUGCAGGGAUGGUGAGGGUUGCAUUCAAGCAGCUUUGUACCACAUGGGGACAGCCCAAGGCACCAACAGAAAAAUCCAGCCUGUGAGAUGGCCAGAAACACUAGCUGUAUGUUUUUUGUUAUACUACCCAGUAAAUCUCGACUUUUGAACAAUCUGCUUUCAAUUGUGUUUCUGCCACUUGAGACUGAAUUAGGAGGAAAUAAAUCCAUCUGAUUCAUGUGGCACCAUGUGAGGAUUUGCAGGGACUUCAAGUUGGAAGAGAGCUCAGUACUACAAAUGAAGCCUCAGAGCUUGCCACAGUGACUGCUGCCAGAGCUCCUUGUCACUGAAAAGAAAGGGCUGUGUGUUCAAAAUGAGCCCAAGGGAUCCUAAGCUAAUCAUGGUGACCCUUCCCUAGCUUAGAUGGUCUUCUGUGCCUAGGUGCGGUUGUGGACCUCUAAAUGGGGUACACAGCACUCCUUUGAUAUGCUAACCCAGGGAGCUUGAUACUGAGUCCACAAGGAAACACAGCUCCUGGUUUGCACACAUGCUUACACACACACACACACACACACACACACACACACACACACACACACACGCACACACGCG
rnacentral:lncRNA from 1 species